rnacentral:rRNA from 1 species
GGAAAAGAAACCAACAGGGAUUACCUCAGUAACGGCGAGUGAAGCGGUAACAGCUCAAAUUUGAAAUCUGGGUCUUUCAGGCUCCGAGUUGUAAUUUGUAGAAGAUGCUUCGGGUGCGGCUCCGGUCUAAGUUCCUUGGAACAGGACGUCAUAGAGGGUGAGAAUCCCGUAUGUGAUCGGUUGCUUGCGCCCAUGUGAAGCUCUUUCGACGAGUCGAGUUGUUUGGGAAUGCAGCUCAAAAUGGGUGGUAAAUUUCAUCUAAAGCUAAAUAUUGGCCAGAGACCGAUAGCGCACAAGUAGAGUGAUCGAAAGAUGAAAAGCACUUUGGAAAGAGAGUUAAACAGUACGUGAAAUUGUUGAAAGGGAAGCGCUUGCAACCAGACUUGCGCGUUGUCGAUCAUCUAGUGUUCUCACUGGUGCACUCGAUUUCGCUCAGGCCAGCAUCGGUUUUGGUGGUUGGAUAAAGGCCUUGGGAAUGUAGCUUCUUUCGGGGAGUGUUAUAGCCCUCGGUGCAAUGCAGCCUACCGGGACCGAGGACCGCGCUUCGGCUAGGAUGCUGGCGUA